CCCCCGCGCGCCGGGCGCCUGCCGGGGGAUUGCUGAAGCUUUGCAGAACUUGGUGAGAAAGUAAAUCUCGUCCAUAUUACUGCAUCUUGGCCAGCAGAAGUCAGCAUGAUGCAGUUGAGAUUCAGAUGAUUAUUUGGAAAGACCUGGCCAGGGCUUCCCUAGUGGCGCAGUGGUUGAGAAUCUGCCUGCCAAUGCAGGGGACACGGGUUCGAGCCCUGGUCUGGGAGGAUCCCGCAUGCCGCGGAGCAACUGGGCCCGUGAGCCACAACUGCUGAGCCUGCGCGUCUGGAGACUGUGCUCCGCAACAGGAGAGGCUGCGAUAGUGAGAGGCCCAUGCACCGCGAUGAAGAGUGGCCCCCGCUUGCCACAACUAGAGAAAGCCCUAGCACAGAAACGAAGAC